GAGCCAUGGAGGGCGUAGAGGAUGAGGUCACCGCGAUGGCCUCUGCAACCCCGUUCGCCCCUGUCCCCUUCCUCGCUCCCACGCACGGCGAAUCCACCCGCCGUUGGCCACUUUCGUCUCUCGCCGGACGCAAGGCUGGUCCGAAUCGAGUGAGGCAGGUCGGACCUAGAGGAGGUGAAUCUCGUGUGGGUGCAUCUGCUGCGACCGGCUCGAGCAUUGAAGCCAGGACCUGGAGGAGGUGGUUCCUAGGUGGCGCAGCUUCUUCAACUCGGUCGAGAGGGGCAACACGUAGCUGGAGGCUACAGAUCUCGUGUAGCGCAGCCACUUCGACCGUCUCGACGGCGGCAGGCUGGAGCUAGCUACGCUUGACGCAGCGGUCGCGAAUCGAUAUGUCACGCGUCCUCCUCCGACCACAAAUUUGAAAUAAGAAGGCAAGGAGAUUGCGGAUCAGCAUGAGGAGGAAACAAGCAGAUUCGAAAAAUUCCCCAAUGCAUAUCCUUCAACACUCAAGCUCUUACAGAGUCUUCUAGCGGCUAGCACUGGACCAAAAGUAAGAGCAACAUUUUCUCGGUAUGUCAUUCAAAUUCGUCCUUCCAAUGCAUUUCUUCUUCCUUGUAUAUUUAUAGCAAUGUAGACUUCCAUGUCCUCCAUUGGAAUCUUAAUAUUAACUUUUUCUCCAAGGUAAAUGAAUCUUGUGUUGUUACUUCUAUUGUAUUGAAGCUUGUGAUGUUUCUAUAUGCAUUGAUUGCACAGUAUUCCUGGUUGCGACGCUGUAGGGUACAUCAUAUAGCAAGUCAAAUUCUGUUGUGUAAUGGAUAUUCAUCUAAGAGAAUUUUUAGAUCUGGGAUUUUUACUUAGGUCCUUCUUGUAAUGUUGUUUUAAAUACGGUUCAGAUCCGACAUGGAAUGUUGAUUUUUAAAUACGACGAGUGUUCAUUUGUAUGUGUGAUGUGAGGUUACAGUAGACAUUGAAAAAACACAAGAGAUGGUCGAUAGUGAAAGGAACCACAAAGAGAUGUACAUUUUCUUCAUUUGAGAAUUAAUUCGUAAAGCUUUUCAUGAUUCAAAAAAUUAAGUUAUUAGCCCUUGUUGUUCAAAUUUGUUCUUCCUAGAUAGGUUCCAAUAUAAUUGGUUUGUUCUCUGAUAAUUGCAUUUAAUCACUGAAAUAACUUUGGCAUUAGGAAACUACAAAUUACUGCAUAUAUUAUGAUCUCAAGAAGAAAAUAAGCCCAUGGUUUCAACUGUUCAGCAGUGGAAAGGGACACCCCCAGAUUUUUAUUAUGGGCAACAUAUUAGUUGCAUCCAGAGUAUUAUGACAGAUUUUACAGGGAAAUAAUCAGCCUUAGGAUAGGACUGCUUUCUAGGGAGAUUUCACUUGCUGUGGGACUAUGUUAUAAUCAGCCUUAGUAUAAAAUCCACCCUAACAUGGAAUUCACCUACAUGCUACACUAUUUAUACGGCAGUGGCAACUAACAUGGAAUUUAGCACAUUUGAGGCAAAAGUCAACAUCAUCUACUUUGGGUCAAGGGAGAUGCAGGAGCUAUAAAAGAUUUUGCAAUUCCAUGAAAGCACAUGUAUGGCAAAUGAAAUAAGCCAGUGAGUUAGCACAUUUGAGACAAAAGUCAACAUCAUCUACUUUGGGUCAAGGGAGAUGCAGGAGCUGCAAAAGAUUAGGCUAGACGCAUUAUGACCGGACACACAAGGCCUCCUAGGGAAUCUGAUAUGAGGCAAGGUAAAUAGAUCUCAAAGCAUGAAAUCUCAAGUAUCCUAUCAGAUUGGUAUUAGUGAACUAUUAAAACAUUAUGAUCUGACAGAUUGGUAUUUGUUCAAACCAUGAUUACUGCAGAUUCUCACAUGAUGGGGAAGUUCUUCAAACAAAGUGCAUACAGCUGGUGAUCCGCAUGAGAGUAAAAUACAUACAAUUUGUUACCUUUUCUGGUGAUCCGCUAUUUCCCUGAUGGGGAAGUUCUUCAAACAAAGUGCACGUCAAGUUUCCUCAGCAAUUUGAAAAGUGCAUACAACCUAGAGGUGUGGUGUGGUUAUGUACCUUUACUCUCCCUGAUGAUUCCAGGAGUUCUGGUACCCUUUAUAUGCACGCACCAGAAAGCAUGGCUGGGCGAGUAGGAUUCUAACGAUAUUGUUGAUCCGCAAUGAUGGAGUUUCCUUUAAAAUGUGAGAGAUCCCUAAAAUGCUGGAGUUUCCGUUGAAAUGUUGCAGUUUCCUUUGAAAUGGCUGGGCGGUUUCCUUUCCUAUAGCCCUGACAUAAUGGUGUGUUGAUAAAUUAGUGUGUACUUUCCUUUCAUGUAGCCAUGAAUUAUAAUGCUGCGAUUUGGUUGUCUGUA